AUUCCAGCUCCAAUAGCGUAUAUUAAAGUUGCUGCAGUUAAAAAGCUCGUAGUUGGAUUUGUGGCGCGGCCGUCCGGCGGGGCUCCUUCAUUGGGGCCGUUUGUCUGGUUUUUCGGCCGCUCCAUUCUCGGGUAGUGUGUCGCUGGCAUUAGGUUGUCGGCUUCUUCACGCCCGUCGUUUACUGUGAAAAAAUUAGAGUGUUCAAAGCAGGCUUAGGCCAUUGGAUACAUUAGCAUGGAAUAAUGAGAUAGGGCCACGACGGUCUAUUUUGUUGGUUUGCACGUUGUGGUAAUGAUUAACAGGAACGGUUGGGGGUAUUCGUAUUCAAUUGUCAGAGGUGAAAUCCUUGGAUUUAUGAAAGAUGAACUUAUGCGAAAGCAUUUACCAAGGAUGUUUUCAUCA
rnacentral:rRNA from 1 species